rnacentral:rRNA from 1 species
GCCAGCCCGCUCAAGAAACUUAAAUGAAUUGACGGGGCCCGCACAAGCGGAGGAGCAUGUGGUUUAAUUCGAUGAUACGCGAGGAACCUUACCUGGGCUCGAACGUAAGAUGACUGUAGGUGAAAGCUUACAUCUCUUCGGAGCAUUUUACGAGGUGCUGCAUGGUUGUCGUCAGCUCGUGCCGUGAGGUGUCGGGUUAAGUCCCAUAACGAGCGCAACCCCUACCUUUAGUUGCCAUCAGGUAAUGCUGGGGACUCUAAAGGAACUGCCUACGCAAGUAGUGAGGAAGGCGGGGAUGACGUCAAAUCAGCACGGCCCUUACGUCCAGGGCUACACACGUGCUACAAUGGCCGAUACAGAGGGCAGCUACCUGGUGACAGGAUGCAAAUCUCCAAAGUCGGUCUCAGUUCGGAUCGGAGUCUGCAACCCGACUCCGUGAAGUUGGAUUCGCUAGUAAUCGCGCAUCAGCCAUGGCGCGGUGAAUACGUUCCCGGGCCUU